rnacentral:rRNA from 1 species
GUCCACACCUUAAACGAUGAGCACUAGGUGUGGGGGGAAGACCCUCCGUGCCGUAGCUAACGCGUUAAGUGCUCCGCCUGGGGACUAUGAGCGCAAGCUUAAAACUCAAAGGAAUUGACGGGGGCCCGCACAAGCAGCGGAGCGUGCGGUUCAAUUCGAUGCGACACGAAGAACCUUACCAGGGUUUGACAUCGAGGUGGUAGGAAGGGAACUGGACCGACCCGCAAGGGAGCCUUGACAGGUGAUGCAUGGCUGUCGU